UUCGUUCAAAAUUACAUGAAUAAUAAGUGGCAAGGCCAGGAUUUAAGUACUUGUACUCAUCACUCCGCUCCAUCUUCCUGUGUAUGUCAAAUCCUUCCUAUCUCCACCAACUGUCUCUUCUCUGAAGUUACAAAGCAGUUAGAGAAGACAAAACGAAGUGCCACUAAUGAAUGCAUGGCUCCUUCCUUUAGGGGAAAAAGGUCUUAGAAUUUAAGGUUAAUAACAUCAGAUUUAAAAAAUAAGAUUUUCAUGGGAGCAAUCUAUAAAAAUAUAACCAGGCACAUCCAUUUUCUUAAUAUAAGUUUUCAUUGUCCUUAGGUUUGAUAAAGUUUCCUGGGUGCUCACUGAAAACUGCCUUUCAGAAUUUGCACACACAAUUUUGCCCACAUAAGGGAAGCAGCAGAGCACAGGGAUAAAAAUGGAUUUGAGCAAGACUCCCAAAGUUUGAUUCGUGGCUUUACCACUCAUAUGCUGUGUGACCUCAGGCAAGUUAUUUAACCUCUCUGUGCCUCCAUUUCCUCAUCUGUAAAUUUCUUCUUCUGUAAAGCAGAAGUACCUUAGGGUUAUUACGACAACUGAAUGAGUGAUACUGUUCAGUACUUAAAACCAUGUCUGGCAUAUGGUAAGAGCCAUAGACGUAUUUGUUAAAUAAUUAAAAUCAUUAAAAGAUAAAGAAUAAAGUACAGUACAACCAAACUAUGUAGAUUCUAAAUCAUUGUUUUUUAAGGGGGAAGAAUGGAUUAAGAAACCCCUAUUUAUUGAACUUCUCUGGCUGCUAGCAAUAACUAGUACUGAAUACAGCCUUUCAAAUUUCCAGAUAAGUAAAAAUCUCGUUUUAAUUCAAGCAGAUGAUCACGAUUCUCAAGAAUUGGAUUCUGGGUCUGCAGAGAGCUGGGCUUAAUAACAAGUGGAAAACAGGCCCCAAAGACAGCAUGUUCUCAGCAAGAUAUGAAUUAUUCUGGAGUCCAGAGGCCAACACAUCCCACAGCAUCCACCUUGGGUCUCUAUCCUCACCUCCUGGUCUGCAACCUUUUUUCUGGGGUCUGAUUACCAUCCUUCACAAAGACAGACUUUAGAUGUCCUCCUUAUCUGAAGUUCAAGCUACAGCAUGUGAGUACCCAUAAGAGACGGUUAAAGAAGGCCUAUAUUCCCUCCCAUAAACAUAAUCUGCUGAGAUAAAUUCAACCCAGAAUAAAACAAUCUUUUAUAUAGUAGAGCUGGAUCUU
rnacentral:lncRNA from 1 species